GUGGUCAAAUGCUGGUAUUGCCUCCCAGAGGGAUAAGGCAGUGGGCAGAGCCUGCCCAGCACUAGAGAGGGCAGGAAGAUGCUGUGGUCAUUAGAGGCUGCAAUCAGGAGCUAUACAAGGAGCUCAAUCUGGCAGCAAGAAAUCACCCUCAGCGUGGGAGGUCCCUCAGUCCCUACAUCCCCUGCAUGGUGUGGAUCCAAGUGGAGAGGAGCCGGCCAGAGCAGCCCCAUUUCCCUGGUACAUCCUCUCCCACUUCUGUAGGUGAGCGCUGCCUUCCCACUGGAGCAGCAGUUGCCAGCUAUUUGCUCCCACAGGCAGCAGGCAGAACCCUGGAUGGGGACCCCUCUAUGCUUAUCCCUGGCUUCAUGGACCCCCUGUCUGCUCAGCUCAGAGGUUUGUCCCUCUCCCCCCAGCCCCAGGGUCUCUGUGCGAGCCCGGGCAGCUGCCCCACGCGGGGGGCUCCAUUCCCCACAUCCUUUUUCAGCCAGGCCACGGGAGGCCAAAGACCCCAUUAACGCUUCUGCCGGCUCUGGCACACCGAGAGCCUCUUAGAGGGGAGGGCGCCGGGAUGCGCCGCGCACCCCACUUGCGAACAGUCCUAAUUACCCAUCAGUUACCAGCUGGCCGGCGUGGCCAGGGGCUGCCCGCGAGGAAGCAGCCGGGCUGGGCUCGCAGCUCCAGCGUGCACGGGCAGCUCCGGGGACCCGGGAGUCCUGCGAGCUCCCAGCAGACCGGCAGAUGCCGGCGUGCCCCGUCUUGCCGCGCCGCAGCUCCCGGUCC